CUCCUUCUAUUGUGGCAAAGUGGAGCAGGAGGAAGUGAAUGCUAGGACGUGAACAGACCAAGCCAGGAUGAGGAUGGAGCCAACAUGAAGACAACAGCAGUCUGUAAACCUUUUUUUUUUUUACACUGUCAGUUGUUUCCUUGUUUUGGCAAAUGAGAAAUUGCUAAGAACUGCCAGGUAUUUGUUCAUUAUGAUCUUUUACACUUUCUUUUAAAGUGGACUUAAUGGAAUUAAUAUCUAUGCUUUGGUGGGAUUGAGAAUCAUGUGUCACUAUUGUGAUGUUUUUUUGCUAUCACAGUGUAACUCACAGAUAUUCAGUGAUAUAGUUGAAAAGGAUGUUUUUCAGAAACAGAUGGAUCAGAAAGUAUCAUGGGGCAGCACUCAGUCAGUCGUAUGUCUGGAAUUCCGCUAGUUCUGAACUAUUCGUGAUUGGCAAAAGUUCACUACUAGCAGAACUCGGAUAUACAACUGAAUUCUCAACGAAAGCUCAAGAUUAGCACAGUUUGAUCUCACGUGGCCUGCCAUUGGACAGCUGCUAUAUUCACGUGAUCUACUUAUCGGAUGAAGUACCAGAAGGUAAGGUGAGUAAGCAUGCAUACACAAAUCAAAGACCUGAGCAAUGACAUUUUUUCUUCAAAUCUAAAGACACAUUGAAGUUCACUGUACAUAAAUUCUCAUUAUUGCUUAUUAGCGCAAUAAUUAAAAAUUAUUAAAUAUUAGUGCAGCAAUUCAGUGCAAAGCAGUUUUGCAUACUGGAUAAUACUCUGUCUAACUUUAUUUUUCAGACCAUCCUUGGAUGUGCUACUCCAUUAAUCAUAACUGAAGGGCUACGGACUUGAUUACAACCAGACAUAUGAGAUACUUCUCUGUUUUCAUGUUAUAGCUGUGGUAAAAUGGUGUGGUCUGUUUGAAACAGGAAGAAAUAAGACCAAUGUAACAUAUUUAAUAUAUAAACUAUUGUACUGUGUGUCACUACUCUUCAACUGCUACAUUUAACAACACAAUUCUUUCUUUCUUUGCAUUUAUUGUACAUUUUUAAUGAUAAUAAUGAAUUUCUACUAAUUCUACCGGUUCAGCAGGCCAAGACCAAGUUA